rnacentral:tRNA from 1 species
GCUGGCGUAGUUCAGUGGAAGAACGCGGGUUUGUGGAGCCCGAUGUCGUUGGUUCAAUUCCAACCGCCAGUGCCA